rnacentral:rRNA from 1 species
CACGUAGGGGGCAAGCGUUGUUCGGAAUUACUGGGUGUAAAGGGUUCGUAGGCGGUGUGGCAAGUCGGGAGUGAAAUCUCUGGGCUCAACCCAGAGUCUGCUUCCGAAACUGCUGUGCUUGAGUGUGGGAGAGGCGCGUGGAAUUGCAGGUGUAGCGGUGAAAUGCGUAGAUAUCUGCAGGAACACCCGUGGCGAAAGCGGCGCGCUGGACCACUACUGACGCUGAGGAACGAAAGCUAGGGGAGCAAACAGG